AGCAGCCGCGGUAAUUCCAGCUCCAAUAGCGUAUAUUAAAGUUGCUGCAGUUAAAAAGCUCGUAGUUGAAUUUCGGGACCAUCAUGUCGGUCGUGCCUCGGUACGUACUGGCAUUGUUGGUUUCUACCUUCUGACGAACCAUGAUGUCAUUUAUUUGGUGUCGUGGGAAAUCAGGACUGUUACUUUGAAAAAAUUAGAGUGUUUAAAGCAGGCUCACGCUUGAAUACAUUAGCAUGGAAUAAUGAAAUAGGACGUUUGAUUCUAUUUUGUUGGUUUCUAGGAUCGACGUAAUGAUUAAUAGGGAUAGUUGGGGGCAUUAGUAUUCAAUUGUCAGAGGUGAAAUUCUUGGAUUUAUUGAAGACUAACUACUGCGAAAGCAUUUGCCAAGGAUGUUUUCAUUAAUCAAGAACGAAAGUUAGGGGAUCGAAGACGAUCAGAUACCGUCGUAGUCUUAACCAUAAACUAUGCCGACUAGGGAUCGGAUGAUGUUAAUUUUUAAUGACUCAUUCGGCG
rnacentral:rRNA from 1 species